UACAGAGGUGGCAAGCGUUGCUCGGAAUUACUGGGCGUAAAGGGCGCGUAGGCGGUCUUGUAAGUCUCGUGUGAAAUCCCUCGGCUUAACUGAGGAACUGCACGGGAUACUGCAUGACUUGAGAUCGGGAGAGGGAAGCGGAAUUCCGGGUGUAGCGGUGAAAUGCGUAGAUAUCCGGAGGAACACCGGUGGCGAAGGCGGCUUCCUGGACCGACACUGACGCUGAGGCGCGAAAGCUAGGGGAGCAAACGGG
rnacentral:rRNA from 1 species